rnacentral:tmRNA from 1 species
UUAGUUCACAAGAGCGCCGCUAAGGCCCUUAUACGCGAAGGCUUCUGUGUGUAGACUAAGAAUCAUUUUGUCAUAUAAGGUUCGGUACCCGGCGCCUCCACCAAAAACCGGCGGUCUCGAAGGCCGGCUUUUGAUGGGGGCGAAACAGGAUCGACAAGGGUGUAAAGAUCGUCUUUUUGCUCGGCAUUGUACCGCCGUUAUCGGGCUAAAAUUGUAGUUGCAAACGACAACUAUGCGGAAGCUCGUCUCGCUGCUUAAUCGCGGUGUGACACUUCAAUCAAAGUCCUAGUGGUUCGCACCUCUAGGCGGGGUCCGAAGGCACCUGGCAACAGAAGCCUUCACC